rnacentral:rRNA from 1 species
UCCCGACAGUCCAAGUCGCAACCAACUUUAUUGGGUCUAAAACAUCCGUAGCUUGUUUGGUAAGUCUCUUGUGAAAUCUUGUCUCUCAAGGGCAAGGCACGCAAGAGGUACUACUAGACUAGAGACCGGUAGGUGUAAGAAGUACGUUCAAGGUAGCGGUAAAAUGCGUUAAUCUUGAAUGGACUAACAAUUAGCGAAGGCAUCUUACAAAGACGGAUCUGACAGUGAGGGAUGAAGGCCAAGGGCGCAAAAG